UACGAAGGGGGCUAGCGUUGUUCGGAAUUACUGGGCGUAAAGCGCACGUAGGCGGACUUUUAAGUCAGGGGUGAAAUCCCGGGGCUCAACCCCGGAACUGCCUUUGAUACUGGAAGUCUUGAGUGUGGUAGAGGUGAGUGGAAUUGCGAGUGUAGAGGUGAAAUUCGUAGAUAUUCGCAGGAACACCAGUGGCGAAGGCGGCUCACUGGACCACAACUGGCGCUGAGGUGCGAAAGCGUGGGGAGCAAACAGG
rnacentral:rRNA from 1 species